GUUAUAGAUAAGUGUAACAAAUGUGGUGGAGUGAGAGAGUUGAUAAGCCUCAUUUACUGCCGGUCGGUGAGUAAACAAAAAUGGACAUGUUUUGGAUUAAACUGCAAACUCUGCUGAAAAAAAGUGGAACAAUUUUUAGUUCUGCAACAUUGAGGGGUGAACAUGAACAGAAAGGAGUUCGACUGGACCCGGAAACCUUCUCUUGUUUGAUCUGUCUGGAUCUACUAAAGGAUCCAGUGGCUAUUCCCUGUGGACACAGCUACUGCAUGAACUAUAUUAAAAGCUUCUGGGAUGGAGAGGAUGAGAAGCAAAUCCACAGCUGCCCUCAGUGUAGGCAGACCUUCACACCGAGGCCUGUCCUGGUGAAAAACACCAUGUUAGCAGUUUUACUGGAGGAACUGAAGAGGACUGGACUCCAAGCUGCUCCUGCUGAUCACUGCUAUGCUGGACCUGAAGAUGUGUCCUGUGAUGUCUGCACUGGGAGAAAACUGAAAGCCUUCAAGUCCUGUCUGUUCUGUCUGAUCUCAUUCUGUGAGAAACACCUCCAGCCUCACUUUGAAUCACCUGCCUAUGAAAAACACAAGCUGGUGGACCCCUCCAAGAAGCUCCAGGAGAACAUCUGCUCUCGUCAUGAUGAGGUGAUGAAGAUGUUCUGCCGUACUGAUCAGCAGUGUAUCUGUUAUCUCUGCUCUGUGGAGGAACAUAAAGGCCACGACACAGUCUCAGCUGCAGCAGAAAGGACUGAGAGGCAGAGAGAGCUCGAGGUGAGUCGACAAAACAUCCAGCAGAGAAUCCAGGACAGAGAGAAAGAUGUGAAGGAGCUUCAACAGGAGGUGGAGGCUAUCAAUCGCUCUGCUGAUAAAGCAGUGGAGGACAGUGAGAAGAUCUUCACUGAGCUGAUCAGUCUCAUCCAGAAAAGAAGCUCUGAUGUGAAGCAGCAGGUCAGAUCCCAGCAGGAAACUGAAGUGAGUCGAGUCAAAGAGCUUCAGGAGAAGAUGGAGCAGGAGAUCACUGAGCUGAAGAGGAAAGACGCUGAGAUGAAGAAGCUGUCACACACAGAGGACCACAACCAGUUUCUACACAACUACCCCUCACUGUCAGCACUCAGUGAAUCUACAUCCAGCAUCAAUAUCUGUCCUCUGAGCUACUUUGAGGAUGUGACAACGGCUGUUUCAGAGCUCAGAGAUAAACUACAGGACCUUCUGAGAGAGAAAUGGACAAACGUCUCACUGACAGUGACUGAAGUGGAUGUUUUACUGCCACAACCAGAGCCCAAGACCAGAGCUGGAUUCUUAAAAUAUUCACAUUUAAUCACACUGGAUCCAAACACAGCAUACACAAAAAUAUUUUUAUCUGAGUGGAACCGAAGAGCAACAGUCCUAGGGAUAAAUCUAUCUUAUUUUAGUCACCCAGACAGAUUCACAAGCAGUUUACAGGUCUUGAGUAGAGAGAGUCUGACUGGACGUUGUUACUGGGAGGUGGAAAAAUUACACGGAGGAGUUUCAGUAGUUGUAGCAUACAAAGACAGUAACACUGUAAAUGAGAGAUUUGGAGACAAUGACAAGUCUUGGGCAUUAGGUUUUUACAAAAACCGUUAUGCACUCAAACAUAACAAUAUCACAACUCCAGUGUCAGGUCCUCAGUCCUCCAGAGUCGGAGUGUAUCUGGAUCACAGUGCAGGUAUUCUGUCCUUCUACAGCGUCUCUGAAACCAUGACUCUCCUCCACAGAGUCCAGACCACAUUCACUCAGCCUCUCUAUGCUGGACUUCUUUUUUGUGGUCCCUCUGGAAACAGUGCUGAGCUGUGUGAGCUUAGUGUGUAGAUAGAUGCUAUGCUGAGCCAUAUGGACUUUCCACGUUUUUAUUUUGUCAUCAUUUUUAUUUCCAAGUGCUAGAGUGGUUGACACUUUGGUAUGCUGUCACUGCUAAUGCUAUCUAUGCUAUUACCAGUGACAGGUACCAUGGCAGAUUUUAGCAAAACAAACAAAAAAUAUAAAACACAUCAUUAGUGCAGUACUCUGGGCCUUAACUGAACUAAAGUUAUUGAUAUAAUCUCAGGGAAACACUUCACUAAAAGUCCUGCUUUUAAAUAUUACAUUGAUAUAUUUGCAGUAAGGUGUAAAAGAACUAGUUUGUCUGAAUGUGUUUGAUUGUAUAAUGUUGUUGUUCUUUUAUUUACACGUUAUUUGACAUUUUGAGUCUGAAUGGUACUUAAAUUCUCAUUUCUCAUGUUUAUUGAUAUAAUUGUGGUACUUUGCAUAUAUUUAAAGGUAGAGUGUUAGUAGUGUUAAAUUACAGUUUGAAUGCUCGUAAUCUUUGGGUUUAAUACUUAAUCAUGUAACAUUAGUAUUCUUUGUCCCUGUUGGCUGUUUGCAAAUAUUAAAUCCUCCACUAGAGGUCAGUCUUUACAUAUAUUUUACACUAUCCCAUACUCAGAUGUACUUUACUGACAUUUACAAUAUAAUAUACUAUAUGGCCAAAAGUUUGUAGAAACUCCUGACACCUCUGGUCAACCUCACUAAUGCUUUUGUGGCUGAAUGGCAGCAAAUUCCUGCAGCCAGGUUCAACGUCUGGAGGCUGUUUUCAUAUUAAUUUCCAUAGUUUUGGAACAACUUGUUGAACAAUUACACACAGGUGUCAUUUUCAGGUGUCUACAUACCUUGUCAGGGUGUCCACAUACAUUUGGCCAUGCAGAUAAUGAUAUAUAAUGUUUAAUAAUGUAAUAUAAUACUUAAAGAGUAAGUUUGUUUAAUACAAUCUUUUGAAUUCCUGAUGAAUGUCUUAUAAGUAACUUUUUUUAGGCAUUUUUAAAUGUCAAAGAUGUGACAAAAUUAUAUAUGUAUAUUAUAUAAUGUGUGUACUUUGCUACUGUAUUGAUGCAUCAUCUCAUUGGUUAAAUGAGCCAAAUAGAUUUUCCUCUAAUGAUUGAUAUUAUUUUUGCUGUCUGCUUCCAUGAAAUGCUUAUGGUUAUGUUUCCUGCUGUAUAAAAUACAUGUAAUAAUACAAUUAUUCUCAUUAGAGCCUGAUUUAGAACUAUAUAUGAUAUGUAGAAAUGUGCAAUAUAAAUUGCAUGAAGGAUUUACUUAAUAAAAUCACAACUUGAUGCUAAACUUGAUUGUUUUUUAUUUUUCAUUUUAUUUCUUUAUACCUAUAAGACAAUUCUCCUGUGUUUCACCUUUCAAUAUCUAAUAUGUUUGUGGUGUCAACCAAACAGCCUCCAAGGUCAAAAUAACACACUGACAAGCAGUUUUUGUGCACCACAUAUUUGGAAAUGUGUAUCCUCUUUCUUAUUCCUAAACCCUAGUUAUGUUCGUUUUAUAUUGGCUUGUGUUGCUCGUAAUCAUUGGGUUAAUAUUUAAUCAUGUAACAUUAGUCUCAUUUGUCCCGGUUGGCUGUUUGCAAAUAUUAAAUCCUCCACUAGAGGUCAGUCUUUACAUAUAUUGUCCACUAUCACAUACUCAGAUGUACUUUACUGACAUUUACAAUAUACUAUAUGGCCAAAGGUUUGUAGACACUCCUGACACCUCUGGUCAACCUCACUAAUGCUUUUGUGGCUGAAUGGCAGCAAAUUCCUGCAGCCAGGUUCAACGUCUGGAGGCUGUUUUCAUAUUAAUUUCCAUAGUUUUGGAACAACUUGUUGAACAAUUACACACAGGUGUCAUUUUCAGGUGUCUACAUACCUUGUCAGGGUGUCCACAUACAUUUGGCCAUGCAGAUAAUGAUAUAUAAUGUUUAAUAAUGUAAUAUAAUACUUAAAGAGUAAGUUUGUUUAAUAUAAUCUUUUAAAUUCCUGAUGAAUGUCUUAUAAGUAACUUUUUUUUGGCAUUUUUAAAUGUCAAAGAUGUGACAAAAUUAUAUAGUAUAUUCUAUAAUGUGUGUACUUUGCUACUUUAUUGAUGCAUCAUCUCAUUGGUUAAAUGAGCCAAAUAGAUUUUCCUCUAAUGAUUGAUAUUAUUUUUGCUCUCUGCUUCCAUGAAAUGCUUAUGAUUAUGUUUCCUGCUGUAUAAAAUACAUGUAAUAAUACAAUUAUUCUCAUUAGAGCCUGAUUUAGAAUUAUAUAUGAUAUGUAGAAAUGUGCAAUAUAAAUUGUAUGAAGGAUUUACUUAAUAAAAUCACAACUUGAUGCUAAA